GCUUCCUUGGCUCAGUUGGCAGAGCGUAGGUCUCAUAUUCUAUGAGCAGUCAAAUGACUGUGAAAUCCUAAGGUCGCAAGUUCGAGCCUUGCAGCGAGCA
rnacentral:tRNA from 1 species